rnacentral:tRNA from 2 species
GGAGGAAUUCCCGAGUGGCCAAAGGGGGCAGACUGUAAAUCUGUUGGUAUUACCUUCGAUGGUUCGAAUCCAUCUUCCUCCACCA